rnacentral:rRNA from 1 species
AGAGUUUGAUCCUGGCUCAGAACGAACGCUGGCGGCGCGCCUAAUACAUGCAAGUCGAGCGAGAAGGUGUAGUGAUACACUUGUAAAGCGGCGAACGGGUGAGGAAUACAUGGGUAAUCUACCAUCGAGUGGGGAAUAACCAACCGAAAGGUUGGCUAAUACCGCGUACGCCUCCGGAUCUUCGGGUUCGGAGGGAAAGCUGCACUGUGAGUGUAGCGCUCUUUGAUGAGCUCAUGUCCUAUCAGCUUGUUGGUAGGGUAACGGCCUACCAAGGCUUUGACGGGUAGCUGGUCUGAGAGGACGAUCAGCCACACUGACACUGCGACACGGGCCAGACUCCUACGGGAGGCAGCAGUAAGGAAUAUUGCGCAAUGGGCGAAAGCCUGACGCAGCGACGCCGCGUGGGGGAUGAAGGUCUUCGGAUUGUAAACCCCUUUCGGGAGGGAAGAUGGAGCGAGCAAUCGUUCGGACGGUACCUCCAGAAGCAGCCACGGCCAACUUCGUGCCAGCAGCCGCGGUAAUACGAAGGUGGCAAGCGUUGUUCGGAUUCACUGGGCGUACAGGGUGUGUAGGCGGUUUGGUAAGCCUUCUGUUAAAGCUUCGGGC